AUUCCGAACAAGCUUGUCGAAAGAGGAGUGCAGGGAAGGAGCAAGAAUGAGGCACUGGAAGACGGAAAACACAGAUCCUGGUGCCGAACAUGAGGACAGGGCAGGCCGAAGGAGAAAGUGGAAGGAGGGGAGCUUCUCUCUCAGCCUCAUCCUUCUGGGCCUGGAUGCUGGAGAGUCAUGAGGUGCUUCAGAGUACUCUGGGUGAGGAGGGAAAGAUGGUGCCCACCACAUGGAGGCCAGCCUAGGUCUUGUAUGAAACCUGUGAGGCCAGCAGGAGCCAGGCCGUGGCCUGCUGACUGCAUCUGCCAGAUGACUACCAAUGUGUGAGUAAACCCAUUCUCAAGCCCAAGAGAACCUCUCAGCUGAACCAGGCCCAAGUUGCUCACCCACUGAACUGCCAGUUAAAUAAAUGGUGGUUGUUUUAAUCCACUAAAUGCUGGGAUGGUUUGUUAUACAGCAGUAGGUAUCAAUACAGUGUACUUGUCAAUCUAGGAAUUCCUGUCUUGUCAAAUCUGAGAAAAUUCUCGGUCACUGUCACUUCAAAUAUUACUUCUUUCCCAUUUUCUAUUCACUCAUUCCAAAACUCCUAGUGGAUGUCUUUUCUGUCAUUUCUGGUUCUGUCUUUUGUGAUCUUAAACUUUCAUUCAUUGUUUUUCCAUUUUUACUUCCGUGUUACAUUUUGAGUCAUUUCCUUAGUUCC
ensembl:lncRNA ZBED3-AS1 ZBED3 antisense RNA 1